rnacentral:rRNA from 1 species
GAUGAACGCUGGCGGCGUGCCUAAUACAUGCAAGUCGAGCGGACGGACGCGAAGCUUGCCUCGCUGAUGUUAGCGGCGGGCGGGAGAGUAACACGUGGAUAACCUCCCUGUAAGACUGGGAUAACUUCGGGACACCGUAGCUAAUAGCGGACAAUAUUUUGAACCGCAGGGGUCAAAAGUGAAAGGCGGUCGUGGUGUCAGUUAUAGAUGGGUCCGCGCUGCAUUAGCUAGUUGGUAAGGUAAAGGCUUACCAAGGCAACGAUGCAUAGCCGACCUGAGAGGCUGAUCGCCCACACGGGAACUGGGACGCGGACCAGAGGCCUACGGGAGGCAGCAGUAGGGAAUCUUCCGCAGUGGUCGAAAGCCUUACGGAGCAACGCCGCGUCUGUUGUGGCGGUCUUCGGAUCGUAAAGCUCUGCUACUGGUUGUGAACAUAUUUGUAAGUAGCUGUGCACAUCUUGACGGUACCUAAUCAGAAAGCCCCGGCUAACUACGUG